rnacentral:tRNA from 1 species
GGACAGGUGGCCGAGCGGCUGAAGGCGUCGGUUUGCUAAACCGGUAUAGGAGUUAUUACUCUUAUCGCGGGUUCGAAUCCCGCCCUGUCCG